UGGAAGUAAAAGUCGUAACAAGGUCUCCGUAGGUGAACCUGCGGAGGGAUCAUUACAAGAACGCCCGGGCUUCGGCCUGGUUAUUCAUAACCCUUUGUUGUCCGACUCUGUUGCCUCCGGGGCGACCCUGCCUUCGGGCGGGGGCUCCGGGUGGACACUUCAAACUCUUGCGUAACUUUGCAGUCUGAGUAAACUUAAUUAAUAAAUUAAAACUUUUAACAACGGAUCUCUUGGUUCUGGCAUCGAUGAAGAACGCAGCGAAAUGCGAUAAGUAAUGUGAAUUGCAGAAUUCAGUGAAUCAUCGAAUCUUUGAACGCACAUUGCGCCCCCUGGUAUUCCGGGGGGCAUGCCUGUUCGAGCGUCAUUUCACCACUCAAGCCUCGCUUGGUAUUGGGCAACGCGGUCCGCCGCGUGCCUCAAAUCGUCCGGCUGGGUCUUCUGUCCCCUAAGCGUUGUGGAAACUAUUCGCUAAAGGGUGUUCGGGAGGCUACGCCGUAAAACAACCCCAUUUCUAAGGUUGACCUCGGAUCAGGUAGGGAUACCCGCUGAACUUAAGCAUAUCAAUAAGCGGAGGAA
rnacentral:misc_RNA from 1 species